rnacentral:RNase_P_RNA from 2 species
AUCGCAGUCUGCGUCAUCGCUGUGGCGGCAGUCGCCCGCCAAAGAGGAAAGUCCGGACAGUAUAGGGCAUCUCGCUACCUAACGGGUAGGAUUCGUUGCAAAACGGAGACGGCAAGUGCAACAGAGAGUAGACCGCCACGCUGCGCAAGCGGCGGGGUAAGGGUGAAAGGGUGGGGUAAGAGCCCACCAGUGUCGGUGGCAACAUCGGCAGCUAGGUAAACCCCGGGAGCUGAAAGGCCAUGUAAACCGGCGUUGUCUGUCAAGGACCUUCCUGUCUCGCGACGGGCAUAAGUGAAGGUCUGGCAGGCAGAAGGGUGCCCGCCCAAGCCGGAGGGUAGGCCGAUGGAGCCGGCUGGUGACGGCCGGCCUAGAUAAAUGAUGGCGAUCCCGUACGCGGGGCACAGAAUCCGGCUUAUAAGACUGCCUGGGAA